rnacentral:rRNA from 1 species
ACGAACGCUGGCGGCAUGCCUAACACAUGCAAGUCGAACGAGAUCCUUCGGGGUCUAGUGGCGCACGGGUGCGUAACGCGUGGGAAUCUGCCCUUAGGUUCGGAAUAACAGUUAGAAAUGACUGCUAAUACCGGAUGAUGACGUUAAGUCCAAAGAUUUAUCGCCUGAGGAUGAGCCCGCGUAGGAUUAGCUAGUUGGUGUGGUAAAGGCGCACCAAGGCGACGAUCCUUAGCUGGUCUGAGAGGAUGAUCAGCCACACUGGGACUGAGACACGGCCCAGACUCCUACGGGAGGCAGCAGUGGGGAAUAUUGGACAAUGGGCGCAAGCCUGAUCCAGCAAUGCCGCGUGAGUGAUGAAGGCCUUAGGGUUGUAAAGCUCUUUUACCCGAGAUGAUAAUGACAGUAUCGGGAGAAUAAGCCCCGGCUAACUCCGUG